UUUUGAUACUAGUACUAAGGCUAUUGAUGUGGAAAUCGACAUUCCUCGUGUAUGCAAUAUGUAUCGCAAAUUCUUGCAAGAGCAAUGCAUAGACAAAAAGGGAACUUACAAAGAGUGCGCGAUGUACCGCAGGCGUCUUGCGAAGUACUCGUGUAAGGUUGAGGAUGCUAAACGAGACUUCUGCAAUAGUGUUCCCUUUGAAGGUUCAUGCAAAUAGUUUCUGAGAAGAAUGAACUGAUAAAUUGCCAGAGUGUAGAAACACAGACAACCAUGGGGAUGGCACUUUAGAGUUUAAAAGCUCAACCUUCUCCCUUUCUUUAAAAGCUCAAACUCUAUGUUGUCUGAUUGUUAUUUUUUAUGUUCUUUCUAUUUAAAAAGUUAAUUUUGUUUAUAGAUUUGAAUGAAAUACAUAUCCAUAAUUUUAAAUAAAUUGGUCCAAUUAUGAGUAGAAAAUGGGCAUCUAGUAAUAAAUUUUAUUUGGUAGAA